ACAUUCACAAAGCAAGUUGAAGCAAAAGCCUUUAUGGAUGAGUCUUUAAGAACACCAAGAAAGAUAGGCAAGAGGUGCAAAAUGACAAAUCAAAACCCGACUUGAUUUUCAACACUUCUAAAAAACACUCCGAAGGUGGUGGACUCAGGGUGUGAAUCAGGGGUGUAAAUUAGAUUUUUGCUUCUUAAGUCAUUUUGGCUUUAGUGAAUACAAUUCCAGUUUAAACCUUUAAGAUUUUUACUUUCGGCCGGUCGCGGUGGUUCAU
rnacentral:lncRNA from 1 species